UGCUAUUCAAGGAAUGCUGCUGCUCU
rnacentral:piRNA from 1 species